rnacentral:lncRNA from 1 species
UACUGCUAUGUGAAUGAAUCUGAGUUAGAUUCCUAAACUCAACUAGGUGCCAAGAAUGAAGGGAUACUCAUGAGUUUUACUGAUAGCCACUCUGGGCAAAGAUUUCUAUCCUGCCAAUGUUGCUGCUGACUUACAGAGGGAUGUAGUUACAGCAUGGUCCCCUUGCAUGGAUGGAUGAAGGAAAUUUGCAAUGAUGCCAGAAAUGAAAGGAAUGAGUAUUGUUGCAGGGUGCUGGAAGAUAAUUUGGAGUCUAUGAUAAGAGGAGGUGAAUGCCUGCUAAAGUGACCAGAAGGCUCUCAGUAAAAAGUAUUAACAAGAUAUCAAUUGAAUCUGCAAAACCAAGAAGUGCUUGAAGGAUAUGAAAGAGGAAACUUGAAGGGAAACCCCGAUGGCACAUCUCUCUUCUUGGCUAGGUAGAUGGAAUGUACAGCUAGAGGAUUGGAUGAGGUCAUCCACAGAGAGAACACCGAGAGACUUCUGGGGCUCACCAACACGAAGAAUUUGGGACAAGAAAGAAGAUCCAGCAGAGAAGACUGAAAGAAGGCAGCUAAUAAAAUAGGAGAGAAACUGGAGAGUUUAGAGUUUUGGAGGCCAAGAAGGUGGUUUAAUAUAACCCCUAUCGAAGCAUUCGUGGUUUAUUUUUAUGAACUGACAAAAUGCUUCUAAAACAUACCUGAAAGGUAUAAUUAAUGCACACCUAGGAUAAUGGAUCAUUGUGCCACAUAUUCCUGUUUCACAACUAAUACGGACAUAUUUUCAUGACUUUGUAAAAUAAAAAUGGAAUCUUUCUAAUUUUUUUUUAAACAGCUGCUUGCUUAUGUAAGUCUUCUGUCUCUCACUGUAUAACCCCUCCACUUUUACAUGGGCACACGUUUCUGUCACUUUCCUGGAGCCCUUGUAGCACAUUAAUAAAAUGUAGCACGUGCUUGAAGAAAAAUUUGUCUAGGACAUUUUGUUUUGAAGACUCAUAAAUUGACGCUAUUUUACAUAGGAAUCUAUUAUGCCAUAGGAAGCAUAUUAUAAACCCUUAAGCAGGGACCAAUUAUUCAGUAAAUGGUGAUGACAUGAAUGUCUAGAAAUAUGAAAGCUUUGAUUUCUCACUUCAUUCCACACACCAAAGUGAAUUCUAGAUUG